UUCUGAUCGCCGGCUGUGAUUCCCAGCCGCACGCCCUGACGCCACUUCCCCGGUGCCAGGUCGAGCGGAUGGGGAUCAGAGCCCACGAUCCCACCCCG
rfam:Microbacterium sp. T32 contig_17, whole genome shotgun sequence.